rnacentral:misc_RNA from 1 species
UUAAGUUCAGCGGGUAUUCCUACCUGAUCCGAGGUCAACCUUUGAAUAUGGGGGUUUUUACGGCUGGUUACCCGCUACACAACAGGAGUGAGAAGAAUACUACUGCACUCAGCGUGAUAGCGAGCCCGCCACUGAUUUUAGGAGGCUGCGGCGGCCGCAGGGCUCCAACACAAGCGCUAGGCUUGAUGGGUUGAAAUGAC